GUGGGGAAUCUUGGACAAUGGGCGCAAGCCUGAUCCAGCCAUGCCGCGUGAGUGAAGAAGGCCUUAGGGUUGUAAAGCUCUUUUACCAGGGACGAUAAUGACGGUACCUGGAGAAUAAGCCCCGGCAAACUUCGUGCCAGCAGCCGCGGUAAUACGAAGGGGGCUAGCGUUGUUCGGAAUUACUGGGCGUAAAGCGCACGUAGGCGGGUCGUUAAGUCAGGGGUGAAAUCCCGGAGCUCAACUCCGGAACUGCCUUUGAUACUGGCGAUCUAGAGAUCGAGAGAGGUGAGUGGAAUUCCGAGUGUAGAGGUGAAAUUCGUAGAUAUUCGGAAGAACACCAGUGGCGAAGGCGGCUCACUGGCUCGAUACUGACGCUGAGGUGCGAAAGCGUGGGGAGCAAACAGGAUUAGAAACCCCAGUAGUCC
rnacentral:rRNA from 1 species